CUCGGCGGGUCCGCCCGCCGAUUGGACAACAUUCAAACCCUUUGCAGUUGCAAUCAGCGUCUGAAAAAACAUAAUAGUUACAACUUUCAACAACGGAUCUCUUGGUUCUGGCAUCGAUGAAGAACGCAGCGAAAUGCGAUAAGUAGUGUGAAUUGCAGAAUUCAGUGAAUCAUCGAAUCUUUGAACGCACAUUGCGCCCCUUGGUAUUCCAUGGGGCAUGCCUGUUCGAGCGUCAUUUGUACCUUCAAGCUCUGCUUGGUGUUGGGUGUUUGUCUCGCCUCCGCGUGUAGACUCGCCUUAAAACAAUUGGCAGCCGGCGUAUUGAUUUCGGAGCGCAGUACAUCUCGCGCUUUGCACUCAUAAC
rnacentral:rRNA from 1 species